GCAGUAGUAGCUCAGUUCAGAGCAAUGGCUUUGUAAACCAUCGGCCGGGGGUUAAAUUCCCCCCUUCUGCU
rnacentral:tRNA from 1 species